rnacentral:sRNA from 3 species
GAGCUGACUGCAAAUCUGCCGUCAUCGACUUCAAGGUUCGACUCGAGCAAUAGUGAGAGAACGUUGCCGCAGGCAACGGCCCGAAGGGUGAGGAGCUUUAGCUCCGAAUAAUCCUUCCCGCUAUAGAA